UUUGAUAACUCGUGUUA
rnacentral:sRNA from 1 species